UACGUAGGGUCCGAGCGUUGUCCGGAAUUAUUGGGCGUAAAGGGCUCGUAGGCGGUUCGUCACGUCGGGAGUGAAAACUCGGAGCUUAACUCCGAGCCUGCUUCCGAUACGGGCAGACUAGAGGUAGGCAGGGGGAGAGCGGAACUCCUGGUGUAGCGGUGGAAUGCGCAGAUAUCAGGAAGAACACCGGUGGCGAAGGCGGCUCU
rnacentral:rRNA from 1 species